GGUAGGAUGUUCAGAUAUAUGACCAAAGUAAUUAAUCUCAGAAAGCAUUUUACACUGAGGAAUAAAAUGCUGUAUGUUGGAGGAAUUAAGCAGAUGUUAUAAUAUCUCCAUGCUAUCAUGCAGAACAAAACCUAGCAGCUGUGUAUGCCAUGAAAAUGAACUUAAUUAAGGAGACCACUAGCGGUGCCUCUGUCAGUAUCAAAAUACUAACACAAUUCAGGCAUAUUUCAUAAGAGAAUGCUUCCCAGCGUCUUCUACUCAGAAUUGCACUCCUGGCUCAAAAGCAGUCAGGUAGGAUGCCAGAGCAGCCACAUGUACUUUUCUGAAGCAGACUUUUAGGCUAACCCUAGCAGGCAGCUAAGCACCACAAAGCAGCUUUCUCUUUCCACUCAGAGGGAUGGGAAAGAGAAUCAGAAGAGCAGAAGUGAAAAAAUCUGUGAGCUGAGGUAAAUGCAGUUCAAAAUGCAGAUAGAGCAAAAGUCAUGCACACAAGCAAAGCAAUACAAGAAAUUCGUUUGCUAUUUUCCAUUGGCAGGCAGACAUUCAACCACAUCCAGGAAAGCAGGGCUCAUCAUGCAUAACAAUUUUUGGAGAAGACAAACAUCAUCACUCUGAACAUCACCCCUCCUUCUUACCCCCAGCUUUAAUUGCUGAGCACAAUACCAUAUGGCAUGGGGCAUUGCUUUGGCCAGUCUGAGUCAGCUGUCUCAUUUCUGACCCCUCCCAGCUCCUUGUGCCCCCCAGCUCCUUGCUGGCAGGGCAACGUGAGGAACAGGAAAGUUCCUGGCUCUAGGUAAGCACUGCUCUGCAAUAAUUAAACCAUUGGUGUGUCAUCAGCUUUGUUUGGGUCACAAAUCCAAAAUGGCACUAUACUAGGUACCAUGAAAAAAAUUAACACUAUCACAGAUAAAACCUGUUUGUACACUAAGGAAGAUGACAUUGACAAAACUUUAAGCUAAAUACAAGGUGUCUCUUUUCAAUCUUCUGCAAAUGUUGGUUAAAGAAUGCAAAGCUAUGCAGUCAAUAGAAGAGAUCAAAAGCCUGGGCAGAAUUAUUGGUUUUAUUGGAAAUUCGUUAUCAAGCCAUUGAAGAGGAAACUCCUGACACUUGGCUUCUCACUUCUCCCAUUCAUGGUGAUAGAGUAGAAGCUCGCAUCUGGAAGAGCCAUUUGUUAUGUUUUGGCAAUCCUGUAGAAAACUGGAAAAAGUUGAUCACGUUUCAAAACCAUGAAAACCGUUAUGUUUUCCUGCCUCUGUUCUGGGAUGUAUUUCAAACAUUAUUUCAGUGAUAGACUGAAGGAUACAUGCUCCUGUUGUUACAAACACCACUUGAUUUGCAGAAUAACGAUACAUCUCAAAUGUCAUUUUUCAUGUUAUUUUCAAUGCAGCACUGAGCAAGGACUUCACAUCUUGUGGAUCAACUGCUGCUAAGUAGUGAAAGAAACAUCAACAGCCAUUAACCAAUGAGAGAAAAAAGAGUGAGGGUCUGAUAUGAAAGCCCUCUGUGGAAAAUGCUAUAGAAAGAAGGGGAGAGGAGACAAAUGAGAUAAGUUUCCUGAGGUUCUGUGAAAGCUGGAGCAGAAAAAGUGUCAUGUCUGUAAAUGAUGUUUGUACCCUCCUGAGACCCUCUUUGUGCUGAUGUGACCGCCCAGUAAACUAUGAGGGAACAGAGUCAGCUAAGAAAUGACCUACCAAAAAACGUGCAGUAGCAGUGCAUAGCAGUGGUGGCUGUGAAUACUCUUGUGUGAUGAAGGCUGGAUGAUAACAAAGCUACAGUAGUGACACCAAAAGAAAUAUGCACCAAACUAUGAGAGGCUCCAUAUCCCUUAAAGAUGUUGACAAAACUGGCUUUGUUGAACAAGACCUUCAGUAUGAAUGUAUUAUUUUGAAGCAUGGCUCUUUAUUUCCUACUUUUCUUUUUUUUUCCUAUGGCCAGAUCAGUUCUCCCAUACAGGUCAUAACGUGGCUACACAGGUAGCUACUGGCUCAUGGGCAAAGGCAGCAGGAAAUAGAAAUGGAACUUAGCAUAUGGUCAGUGGCAACCAGGGUGGAGCAUAGCAGAUGCAGACAACAACAUGUUUUCUAUGUAUUUGCACUGAUGUAUGUGGAAGGAACAGCCUUGUUUCCCAUGAAAACAAGAUGUUAACUGUAGAGUUAACAUCAUUCACUGUUUGUGUCCGAAAAAUAUUAAAGAAAUCGGCGUGAGCAGCAGUAGUCACAUAGAGCAGCUCUUUCUGUGUGUUGCUUUCCAGUAACAUUCUACGUAGCUGUGGUUGUCAAACCCUGGCAGAAGUACAGGGAUAUAGAGAUGAAACCUUUAGUGUGCCUGUGAAGAAAACAAUACAUAUUUCUUUGGUCAGCUUUAGAAAAAAAAAGACGAAAAAGAUGUUCAGAAAAAAGUGUUUCUGUGGCAAUUAGGAAGACACAGUUGUUUGCAGUGUGAUCUCAGGAACCAGUCCUGUUUGAAGGACACUUGUUCUUACUGUGGCUCCAAUUCAGGAAGGAUGUUUUGUCAUUCUGUGAACCCACUAUACAGCUGGGAUUGAAUGGAAAGGAAGGGCAAUUUAUUUCUCCACAAAUUCCUUUGGAAUUGCUUUAGGCAUGACAUUAGAGCCAAAUUAACUUUCAAGAAGCAGCUACUGAUGAAAUAGCCUUCUCUGCCUGCAGUUCCCUACAGUUUUCCCUCCUGGGUCUUGCAAGACAGUUUGGAUGACCACAGCUGUUCCACAGUGCAGAUCUUCUCAAAAAUUGGUGCUGGGUGACAGACUACAAAGGCUGGAGUUGAUUUUGUACUUGAAGUAUGACAUGCGUGUACUCUGAAAAUUAGGUAAUUUAAAGCAGCCUUGGCUAGAUGAUUCAGUGGCAAAGGUAGCUGGAUCCUGUAGUUAGUACAGAAGAUGAAGGCAAUAAAUACUGCCAUGGCUUGGGAUGCAGCAUGGUGAAACAGAUAGGAAUUUCUGAGUCGUAAUUUUUGCCUGCAGUUUGUUGCAUGGAUGUUCAGCAUGUGGUGAAUCUGCCACAGCUUUUCAUUUUCCAUUAUUUCCAAGGAAAUUACACGUGAGGGGAUCUUAUCAAUGCUUAAUGGUUGAGGGUCUUUAAGGAUGGGGCCAAGCUCUUUGUUAGCGGUGCCCAAUGAUGGAGGACAACGGGCACCACACAGGAAGGUUCCAUCUGAGCUCCAGAAAAUAAAUUAUUUACUUCGAGGGUGACAGAGUGCUGGAACAAGCUGAUCAGAGAGACUAUGAAGCCUCCUUCUCUGAAGAUAUUCAAAACCCAUCUGGACACUUGCCUGUGUGACCUGCUGUAGGGAAUCUGCUUUAGCAGGAGUCGGGCUGGGUGAUCUCCAGAGGUCCCUUCCAGCCCCUGUGGUUCUAUGAUUCUUUGAUUACCUCUUUCCUCCAGCUGGAAGAGACAUUUAUAAGAGCUCUAUCCUGUGCUGACUCUCUGCUCUUUGAUAAAAGGUGAGCACACAACGUAGUCUUCUGUUACUUAAUUAAAUGCAAUCAGGAGAGAGAAACAAAUCUUCAGAGAAUCAGUAUUUAGUAAUUUUGCUGCCCUCAGAGCUAUUUGUUUGCUUUCUGCCUUAUUCAUUAAAACAGGAAGUAGUCUCACAAGCAAAUUAAUUCUAUGGAAUUACUCUUAAGACAGAAAAAUAAAGGGUACUGGAGCACUGAAGUGCUAGCACUGGGACAGAGUGAUCGCAGAACACAUUGUUUUGUGUAUAAAAGGCCCAAAAUGUGUCAGAGUCAAUUGUUCAUUAGACCAUUAGUGUUAGUAGCAGUUUGCCCACAGAUUGCUCUCCCUUCUUCACAGGCAAUUUCCUCGGCAUGGUACUGUAGCUGUUGUUAUUGUAGUUAUGACUCCAGCUCAGACACUAAUAAAUCACAAUGUACAACUUUCCAUAUAUGCUGCCAAAAGACAGUGUCAGACAGAGCUGGGAAAUCCAGAUCUCGGAAAACUGAAAUUCACCUUCCAGAUCCAGUGGAGCAGAAGGAGAUAGGAUUCAGCAGCUGAUUUAAAAUACAGUUCACUGCAGUCACUUCUGACUUUCUAGACAAGCAUGUGACAUCUUAACAGCAAAGUAAGAAUUAAUCAGGAAACAAAUUUAACCACAGUCAUCUUGACAAUUUCUUACAGCUCACAAGAGCUCUCUGAAGGGAUCCUUGGCUGUCCCUGCACUGGGGCUGAGGACAGACCCAGCCAUUGUGGUGGAAGAUGCUAGCCCCAGCUGCCUGCCUCCAGCAUCUAGCCAGAGGUUACACCCCACAAACACGCAGAAUACAGAAUAAAAGUAAAUAACACAGUGGGGAUUUUCCACCAUCUGCUAUAGAUAGCAUCACCAGUGUAGUACAAUAACUAAAGUUAGAAGAAAAAAUGUCCAUGUCAUCAGGGGAGUGCUGGAAAUGAUUACUGAGAGACAACACUGGAAUCCAAGUUUGGAGAAUAAACACCUUUUCAAAUCCAUUCACUCAUAAGUCUGUCACUCAAAGACGCUUCAGAUUAUGGAAAACAAGGAGUAGGGGAAACUCAAAAUAUGUGCAGCAAGGCAGACUUUGGCAUUUUCCGUUCAGUUACUGAGUGUUUAACUUGCCAUAGCCCACAGAGGCUUGAACUUCAGUCAAGCUCCUCC
rnacentral:lncRNA from 1 species